rnacentral:rRNA from 1 species
UACAUGGGGUGCAAACGUUGCUCGGAAUUAUUGGGCGUAAAGCGUCCGUAGAUGGUUUUGUCAGUCUGCUGUCAAAGCACAGGGCUUAACCCUGUAAAGGCAGUGGAAACUACAAGACUAGAGUGCAGUAGGGGCAGAGGGAAUUCCCAGUGUAGCGGUGAAAUGCGUAGAGAUUGGGAAGAACAUCCGUGGCGAAAGCGCUCUGCUGGACUGCAACUGACAUUGAGGGACGAAAGCUAGGGGAGCGAAUGGG